rnacentral:rRNA from 1 species
GGUGGGGUAACGGCCUACCAAGGCGACGACGGGUAGCUGGUCUGAGAGGACGAUCAGCCACACUGGGACUGAGACACGGCCCAGACUCCUACGGGAGGCAGCAGUAGGGAAUCUUGCGCAAUGGGCGAAAGCCUGAUCCAGCAACGCCGCGUGAGGGAUGACGGCCUUCGGGUUGUAAACCUCUUUCAGCAGGGACGAAGCGAAAGUGACGGUACCUGCAGAAGAAGCACCGGCCAACUACGUGCCAGCAGCCGCGGUAAUACGUAGGGUGCAAGCGUUGUCCGGAAUUAUUGGGCGUAAAGGGCUCGUAGGCGGUCCAUCGCGUCGGGAGUGAAAAGCUGGGGCUUAACCCCAGUCCUGCUUCCGAUACGGGUGGACUAGAGGUAGGCAGGGGAGAACGGAAUUCCUGGUGUAGCGGUGAAAUGCGCAGAUAUCAGGAGGAACACCGGUGGCGAAGGCGGUUCUCUGGGCCUUACCUGACGCUGAGGAGCGAAAGCAUGGGGAGCAAACAGGAUUAGAUACCCUGGUAGUCCAUGCCGUAAACGUUGGGCGCUAGGUGUGGGGGACAUUCCACGUCCUCCGUGCCGCAGCUAACGCAUUAAGCG